GAAGAGGAAAAGCAAGAGAAGAAGAAACCAAAGAAGAAGGCAAGAGAAGCCAAGUGGGAGACCAGAUUGGAAAACACCAAAAAUGGGGAAGAAGCCUAAAAGAAACAGCCCCUAGUGCAAGAAAUCGGGCUGUAAAUCGUGCUAUCGAAGAGAAAACGACCAAGCUUUGUCGGAAGUAUCAAGUGUUUCAGGCUCCAGGUUCUAGCGCGAGCAAGGAUUCAGAGGUGGCGCUUGGCUGAUUUAGAGAUGGAUUUGUUUGUGUACCCGUGUAACCCCAAUAUUGUAAUGUAAAUAGUAGUUAAGAUACUUAAGGAUGUAAUCGUGAAGUUGCUAUAACUUUUUGAUACGUGGGUGCGUGAUGGACUUUUAUUUAAACUUGUGGA